UAGUCCACGCCGUAAACAAUGAGCACUAGUUAUAGCGGGUAUUAACCCCUGCUGUGACGUAGCUAACGCAUUAAGUGCUCCGCCUGGGGAGUACGGUCGCAAGACUAAAACUCAAAGGAAUUGACGGGGGCCCGCACAAGCGGUGGAUUAUGUGGUUUAAUUCGAAGCAACGCGCAGAACCUUACCUGGGCUUGAAAUCCGGAGAAUUUUCUAGAGAUAGAGAAGUGCCCUUCGGGGAAUUCCGUGACGGGCGCUGCAUGGCUGUCGUCAGCUCGUGUUGUGAAAUGUUGGGUUAAGUCUCGCAACGAGCGCAACCCUCGUCCUUAGUUGCCAUCAUUUAGUUGGGCACUCUAGAGGAACCGCCGGUGAUAAGCCGGAGGAAGGUGGGGAUGACGCCAAGUCCUCAUGGCCCUUACGGGUAGGGCUACACACGUGCUACAAUGGCAGUGACAAUGGGUUAAUCCCUAAAAACUGUCUCAGUUCGGAUUGUUCUCUGCAACUCGAGAGCAUGAAGUU
rnacentral:rRNA from 1 species